GCCAGACUAUGCUUGCUAUGAAGAUAGAUACAUCAGGUCAAGUUUGAAUUCUUCUGCACUGUGUUGUUGUGGAAUACUCUACACAUUCCAAUCUGGGUUUCAUUGGACUUAUUACAUUAGAGUCCUGCCAGAGUUACCUUUGACAUAAAGGGAGAUAUUACAACCGGCACUUGGACAAUUCAAGCUGGUCUGUUGCGGGCAGGACCUAGUGAAUGCAUUGAUUACCCUUUGCUGUUUGGGGCCUAAUGGAUCAAACAAAGUCCAUAUCAUUGAUGGAGC